rnacentral:rRNA from 1 species
UACGAAGGGGGCUAGCGUUGUUCGGAAUUACUGGGCGUAAAGGGCGCGUAGGCGGCUCUGAUCGUCGGAUGUGAAAGGCCUGGGCUCAACCUGGGAAUGGCAUCCGAUACGGCGGGGCUGGAGUGUGGGAGAGGUUGGUGGAAUUCCCAGUGUAGAGGUGAAAUUCGUAGAUAUUCGGAAGAACACCAGUGGCGAAGGCGGCUCACUGGACUGGUAUUGACGCUGAGGUGCGAAAGCGUGGGGAGCAAACAGG